CCUACGUGUGGCAGCAGUGAGGAAUAUUGGUCAAUGGGAGAGAUCCUGAACCAGCCAAGCCGCGUGAGGGAAGACGGCCCUAUGGGUUGUAAACCUCUUUUGUCGGAGAACAAAACCCGGGCCGUGUCCCGGACUGCGUGUAUCCGAAGAAAAAGCAUCGGCUAACUCCGUACCAGCAGCCGCGGUAAUACGGAGGAUGCGAGCGUUAUCUGGAUUUAUUGGGUUUAACGGGUGCGUAGGCGGUCCGUUACGUCAGAGGGAAAAUUGCGGGGUUCAACCCCGCCGAGCCGUUGAAACUGGCAGACUUGAGUUGGCGAGAGGUACGCGGAAUGCGCGGUGUAGCGGUGAAAUGCGUAGAUAUCGCGCAGAACUCCGAGUGCGAAGGCAGCGUACCGGCGUCAGACUGACGCUGAGGCACGAAAGCAUGGGGAUCGAACAGGAUUAGAUACCCCUGUAGUC
rnacentral:rRNA from 1 species